GCACAUCUCACCAAAUACAUGGGUAUAGCCAUUCUAGGAAAAUUCCUUUUAAUUCUUCUGAUUGGAAGCUUUAUAAUUUGGCUAUCCCAAGAAGAAGCUGCAAUUCUCAUAUUUCAGGCAUCACUCGCUUAAGAAAAAGGCAAGUUGCAUGCCAGUGAUGGGCAUGGAGAGCUAAGGCAGCGGCCUUCCUGGACAAAGAAUGCAGGCGAAGACCCUGUGCAUAGAGACCAUGGUUUGCCAGUUUUCUGUGUCUUCGGGCAUCCUGCCCAAGCAACUUCUGAAUAUGCUUUACAAGGGUUGUGUCCAUGUCUCCAGCCUCACUUUGUGCCAACUGCUUUCAGAAGUCAAGCCCCUCUGGACCCAGUUUUUCUCAAGGAAGACUCUUCCAAAAUGCACAAGCUUCAGGCCCCACCCAAUCUGGAUCUGCCCUGGCUGCUGGGACCAGGAAGCUGUCCAGCUUGGACGCAGGGCCAGAAGAUCAGUGUUUAGACCACGGGAACUCAGGAUUCCUGGAACCCCAGACCACAGAGGCCCAUGCUGCUGCAGUGGCACUUGAGCUCCUGGGAGUGGGGCCCAGAGCAGAAUGAUGAGGGAACCAAGGCUCAGGACCACUCAGCUGGGAAGGGCCAGUGCUGUGCUAAGAAGGCAGGGAGGCUCCGUCUCGCCUCCCUCCGCAGCAGGGUCUCAACACAGGCCUCUGGAGGGCAGAGGACGGAGGGCUGCCAGCGCGCUAAGUGCCCGGGGUCUCACCUCAGGAUGGGUUUGCAGCCCCUGGGCCGGAGGAGGUGAGGAGCCUGGCUGCUGGCUUCUGGGGGAAGCAGAUGUAGGGGGGCAGGGGGCAGGGCGCAGGUGAGAGGCAGAGGUGACCACGCUGAGCCUCGGCACCAGCACCGCAGGAUGGCUCAGUGGGGCCCAGCACGUUCAAGGCACCAGGUGUAUGUGUGUUUCCUCACUAGCAAAGCAAGUGACAAAAUGAGCCCCCUAGUUUUUCUCUUCUCUCUGACCCGAAUGCUCCCCUGCCCCUCGUGUCAUCAGCAUGGUAGUGACCCUGGGUGUCUGUGAUGAGACCGGAGUUAUUACGUGCAGCUAAACCAUUCCAGAUUUUGUUUUCCACACCUCAAGCCCCAGGAAGCUUUCCUCCACAGAAAACACUGAAAACGAAUUUAGUUAACUCUGGACAGCUGCUAGAAAUCCAGGAGCCCUGUCUCAUCUCUGACCAGCAUUUUGGGACUUACCUGACCAUCUUGGGAAAAUGAACUCCAUGACCAAGUUGUAGACUUCUCUAGCAUUUUACCACAGAGGAUAUCCUUUGGUUAAUUUGGGCAAAUAUAAGUUUAUUUUUUCAAACUCAAAGCAAAAUGAGUUGGGCUGUCCAGCAAAUGCAGUUUGGACUAACACCUAAGCACAUGAAUACAUUUUUCUCUUAGGUCUUAAAAGCUUUUUGAUGGCAAAUCCUGAGUUUGGUUUUAAAAAGCGUGAUUAGGGGCGCCUGGGUGGCACAGCGGUUAAGUGUCUGCCUUCGGCUCAGGGCGUGAUCCCAGCGUUAUGGGAUCGAGCCCCGCAUCAGGCUCUCUUGCUAUGAGCCUGCUUCUUCCUCUCCCACUCCCCCUGCUUGUGUUCCCUCUCUCACUGGCUGUCUCUCUC
rnacentral:lncRNA from 1 species